rnacentral:rRNA from 1 species
GUAGGUGGGUUUGUAAGUCAGAUGUGAAAGCCUUCUGUUCAACGGAAGAAUUGCAUCUGAAACUGCUAAUCUUGAGUAUAGGAGGGGAGAAUGGAACUUCUGGUGGAGCGGUGAAAUGCGUAGAUAUCAGAAGGAACGCCGGCGGCGAAAGCGAUUCUCUGGCCUAUUACUGACACUCAGUGUGCGAAAGCUAGGGGAGCAAACGGGAUUAGAUACCCCGGUAGUCCUAGCCGUAAACGAUGGGCACUAAGUAGAGGGGU